rnacentral:rRNA from 1 species
AGUGAACGCUGGCGGUAGGCCUAACACAUGCAAGUCGAACGGCAGCACAGUAAGAGCUUGCUCUUACGGGUGGCGAGUGGCGGACGGGUGAGGAAUACAUCGGAAUCUACUUUUUCGUGGGGGAUAACGUAGGGAAACUUACGCUAAUACCGCAUACGACCUACGGGUGAAAGCAGGGGAUCUUCGGACCUUGCGCGAUUGAAUGAGCCGAUGUCGGAUUAGCUAGUUGGCGGGGUAAAGGCCCACCAAGGCGUCGAUCCGUAGCUGGUCUGAGAGGAUGAUCAGCCGCACUGGAACUGAGACACGGUCCAGACUCCUACGGGAGGCAGCAGUGGGGAAUAUUGGACAAUGGGCGCAAGCCUGAUCCAGCCAUACCGCGUGGGUGAAGAAGGCCUUCGGGUUGUAAAGCCCUUUUGUUGGGAAAGAAAAGCAGCAGGUUAAUACCCCGCUGUUCUGACGGUACCCAAAGAAUAAGCACCGGCUAACUUCGUG